rnacentral:tRNA from 1 species
GUUGAAAAAGCGGUCGAGGUCGGGCUCAUAACCCGAAGGUCACUGGUUCGAGUCCAGUUCCCGCUACA